CCCUUCGGGGGUACACGAGCAGCGAACGGGUGAGUAUCGCGUGGGUAAUCUACCUAGAGGUGGGGGAUAGCCUCGGGAAACCGAGGGUAAUACCGCAUGAGUCCUCAAUGACAUAAGUCGAUGAGGGGAAAGGCGGGGCUCCUUCGGGACCUGUCGCCUCUGGAUGAGCCCGCGUCCGAUUAGCUAGUUGGUGGGGUAAUGGCCUACCAAGGCAACGAUCGGUAGCCGGCCUGAGAGGGUGAACGGCCACAUUGGGACUGAGACACGGCCCAGACUCCUACGGGAGGCAGCAGUGGGGAAUUUUGGGCAAUGGGGGAAACCCUGACCCAGCGACGCCGCGUGGAGGAUGACGGCCUUCGGGUUGUAAACUCCUGUCAGGUGGGAAGAAAAGCCAGUCGGUUAAUACCCGGCAGGAAUUGACGGUACCACCAAAGGAAGCCCCGGCUAACUCCGUGCCAGCAGCCGCGGUAAUACGGAGGGGGCAAGCGUUAUUCGGAUUUACUGGGCGUAAAGCGCACGUAGGUGGCAUGGUAAGUCAAAGGUGAAAGCCCUCGGCUCAACCGAGGAAUUGCCUUUGAAACUGCUUUSUUUGAGUCCGGGAGGGGGGAGCGGAAUUCCCAGUGUAGCGGUGAAAUGCGUAGAUACUGGGAGGAACACCGGUGGCGAAGGCGGCUCCCUGGACCGGUACUGACACUGAGGUGCGAAAGCGUGGGUAGCAAACAGGAUUAGAUACCCUGGUAGUCCACGCCGUAAAACGAUGGGCACUAGGUGCAGCGGGUGUCGACCCCUGCUGUGCCGUA
rnacentral:rRNA from 1 species